AUUGAACGCUGGCGGAAUGCUUUACACAUGCAAGUCGAACGGCAGCACGGGGGCAGCCCUGGUGGCGAGUGGCGAACGGGUGAGUAAUACAUCGGAACGUGCCCGGUCGUGGGGGAUAACGUAGCGAAAGUUACGCUAAUACCGCAUACGAUCUGAGGAUGAAAGCGGGGGACCUUCGGGCCUCGCGCGAUCGGAGCGGCCGAUGUCAGAUUAGGUAGUUGGUGGGGUAAAGGCCUACCAAGCCGACGAUCUGUAGCUGGUCUGAGAGGACGACCAGCCACACUGGGACUGAGACACGGCCCAGACUCCUACGGGAGGCAGCAGUGGGGAAUUUUGGACAAUGGGCGCAAGCCUGAUCCAGCCAUUCCGCGUGCAGGACGAAGGCCUUCGGGUUGUAAACUGCUUUUGUAUGGAACGAAAAGGCUCUGGCUAAUACCUGGGGCUCAUGACGGUACCGUAAGAAUAAGCACCGGCUAACUACGUG
rnacentral:rRNA from 1 species